CCUACGGGAGGCAGCAGUAGGGAAUUUUGCGCAAUGGGCGAAAGCCUGACGCAGCAACGCCGCGUGAUCGAGACGCCCUUCGGGGUGGAAAGAUCUGUCAGUGGGGACGAAACUUGACGGUACUCACAGAGGAAGCACCGGCUAACUCCGUGCCAGCAGCCGCGGUAAUACGGGGGGUGCAAGCGUUGUCCGGAAUCAUUGGGCGUAACGAGUUCGUAGGCGGCACGUAAAGUCUGGUGUUAAAGGCAGAGGCUCAACUUCUGUACGGCACGGGAUACUUGCGAGCUAGAAUGCGGUAGAGGUGAAGGGAAUUCCGGGUGUAGCGGUGAAAUGCUUAGAUAUCAGGAGGAACAGCGGUGGCGUAAGCGCUUUACUGGGCCGUAAUUGACGCUGAGGAACGAAAGCCAGGGUAGCAAAUGGGAUUAGAUACCCCAGUAGUC
rnacentral:rRNA from 1 species